CAGAGCAUGAAGACUCUCCUGGAGUCGCU
rnacentral:sRNA from 1 species